UUCCAACUCUUCCUUUUUUUUUAUCUAUUACUGUCAAGCAUGCGGUCGACUUUAAUUGCACGUCAUUUUAUCUAAAUCUCAUUGACAAGUACUAUUUGUCUUGCCUGAACUGUACCAGUUCUACGUAUUUGAAACUGAUCGGUUUUUUAAAUGGGCGUUCGCAACCUUCGAAACUUCACACAUAGCAGGCGCGGAAGGCGAAGACAAUGCCGAUUGAUGAAACAUUCUCGGAAUCAAAUCCUACACCAGAGGACCCAUAUGCAGCAAAUUUACAAAUUUUAUUCGAAAAAAGAUCGAAUUCACGACGAAAUAUCGUGUUUUAAGUUGUGGUUUGAAACAAGAGUACAUCCGCUUCUCGACUGAGAGUAAGAUUUCGCGAUUUUCUACACAUGCAAAUGUAAUUGUAAAUGGCAGUCAAUGUUCAAGUACAAAAACAGACAAAAGGUUCAGGUACAGAUUGAGUGGUUGCAUUCUCAUUUACAACAGGCUUAAAUCCCGAAAAUUUCUAAAAACAUACAUUUUCUAAAGAGCUGGACAUACCUGCAGCGAUAGAACUUGCCGAUCCUAAUUUCAAUUUGUCACGGACAGUCGGAGCAGGAUUAUUUUGGCAAUUGUUAUGUGUAGAUCAAAUUCUGAACAUAUCACAAAAGUCGUGAAAGAAGCCAACAAGAUACUAUAUCUUCUCGGAAAGACAUUUGCUAAAGCUGAUAUAAAUACUGUAACUAAACUGUAUAAAACUUAUGUUAGACCGAUAUUAGAGUAUGCUAACUGCGUUUGGGUUCCAACAUUAUAACGUGAUAUCAACUUACUAGAAUCUGUCCAGCGUCGUGCCACAAGAAUACCGCAUGGACAAGUGCGCCCCUCUUACCCUGACAGAGUUAAUCUUAUGAAAUUGCCAUCGUUAGCCGGCAGGCGUGUAAGAGGUGACAUGUUAAGAAUUUCAGGAUUUUACAAAUAUUAGUUCACCUAUCAGACAUCUUUUUCCUGUCAAGAUUGGUGGACGGACCAGAGGUUACCGUUUCAAAUUGGAGAAGGACAAUUUUCGGACUUCUAUUCGUCAGACGUUCGUCACUAACAGGGUGUUCACCGAAUGGAAUGCAUUACCCCCUGAAGUUGUUGAAAGUGCUUCCGUUCCUAGAUUUAAGGUCAACUGCGACACCUUUCGAAACCGUAGAUAGUUAUAUAUCCAUAAUUAGUAAUAGGUAUUAUAUUUGAAAUAAUUUGUGAUUCCAUCAACUGUCGUCUUACGCGGGCAUAACAGACUUCGGUCUCUGCCCGAGCGCUUCAUUUUAAUAAAAAUAAUAAUAAAAAAAAUCAAACAAUAGAACGUGGCAUAAUAUUACAAAAAAAUUUAAUUAGGUUGGAUUGUAGGGGGACCAUUGCAUGGAUGUCCCACUAGUAACACCUGUCAAAAUCUACAUUGUUUGGUCAAUAAUAUCAAUUUAGAAAAACAGGUUGAAAAGUUCUGGAAACUGGAAACGAUGAUAAGGCACUCACAUCUCUUGAAAUACAACACGAGAACUAUUUUAUUAACAAUGCCACCAUUUUUACCAAACUUGGGGUAUUCGAAAGAAAUCGCUCUUAAACGGUUCAACUCAUUGGAACGAAAGUUUGCAAAGAAUAUAUUAAAAACAAAUUGUCACGAUUUUAUAAAAGAAUAUGUACAUUAAUUUGGAUCAUAUGCGUUUACUAGGUUCAUUGACAGAGCCUAACAUCGAAAGUGAACCCCACCACUUUUUGCCUCACCAUGCGGUUUUCAAAAAUGACGAGGUCACUGAAAAGAUUCGCGUAGUGUUUGACGGGUCGGCCAAACCAUCAUUCGGAAAAAGCAUAAAUGCUUGUCUCAGUUCAGGACCAAAAGUACAAAACGACAUUUUUGAUUUAAUAGUUCGAUUUAAUUUAUUAAUUUAAUAAGGUUGCCUUUACAGCGGACAUUUGUAAGAUGUACCGUCAAAUUUUAAUUCAUCCCGAAGACGACGAUACCAAAAAUUUUGUGGCGGGGGACGAUCACACACAACCGAUGCAAGUGUACAAACUUAUUAUGGGCACAUACGGGACAUCGUCGUCUCCGUAUGCCGCGAUUAAGUGUCUAAAAUUAUUGGCGGAUCAAGUGGAAGCAACAUUUCCAAAAGUUGCCGAAAUAAUCAAAGACAAUUUUCACGUCAACGAUGUGCUCUGCGGGAGUUCCACCAUUGAAAAAACAAUAGAACUUCGUGACUUGCAACUGCUUUCCCAAAGAUGUUUUACUUUAGUCAAAUGGGCUUCGAAUAACCCUAAUAUUUUACCAAAAAAAAAAAACACCUGAAAUGUCUUGUGUCAUCUAAGGUUUGCGAGCCAUUAGACUUACUUGGGCCAGUAACAGUUCUAGCCAAAAAUGUGGAAUUUAAAACCUAGUUGGGAUGAAACUGUUCCAUUAUCAAUUUAUUCGGCGCCACAUACGGGGGGUGUCUGAGAAGCGGCGGUCAAAUCUUCGAAAGAUCAAUUGAAGCGCGUUAUUGGUGCAUCUUUAUGUAAUUUUUAAGAAAUACAGACUUUACUAAUCCAAGUAGAAGCAUGCUUCAAUUCGCGCCCUUUAACCGCCAUGUCCAAUGACUCAAAUGACCCGACUCCUUUAAUUCCCGGCCACUUCCUCGUCGGAACCUCUUUAACUGCUGUUCCAGAAAAUAACCUCACCACGCUCCUAACGAACCGCCUCUCCAGGUGGCAACAAGUCAGCCGCACUCAGCAACAAUUCUGGAAACGCUGGUCAGCAGGAAUAUUUGGGUCAACUUCAACAUCGUGCAAAAUAGACCAACAUCAAGGUGGACGAUUUGGUGGUGAUUAAGGAAGACUUCCAUCUUCCACGCACCCCCGCUUGCAUGGAAGAUGGGACGCAUUACUACAGUUCAUUCCGGUCAAGAUGCCCUUAUUCGUGUAGUGACAGUGAAAACCGCGCAUGGUGUGAUUAAGCGGCCAGUGAUUAAAAUAUGUGUGCUUCCGACCGAACCAUAAAGAAAUGUGCAGUGUUUAAAUCUAUUCCUGUUUUUUGUAUGUGUUCUGUAUUCCUUUUGGUCGUCAAAGUGCUGUUUACACCUGUUAUGUAAACACGUAUUAUGUAUUCAUAUUUAUUUGCAAUUGUUAUACUUAUUUUAUUAUAAUGUUGAAAGUUAGUUCUUUCAAGACGCCGGACCAUGUUCGCGUUUCGGUUCUUACCCGACAACCCUUAUAAUUUUCACUUCUGAAUCAUCACUACCUGCGAUAGUUUUCUCGAGUUUGUUCACUUUGUAUAUAGUUUCAGAUCUAGCAACAUCAGAAUGAAAAUACAGAGUCACACAGCACAUGUGUGACUCUGUAUUUUCUGUGUUUCAUUUUUUAUCUAACAUAUGUAUUUCGGAACAUAUGUAUGAGUAACAAUCAUACAUCCAACAAUUUAAAAUAUUCAAAAUCUGAAAUAUUUGUCAUUCAAUUACCAAAAAGGCAUAGGCAUAAUUACGUAUUCAUCAAAGAAAUUGAACGGACAAGGACUUUAUCAAAAAAGUCGCAAAUGGAGCUUAGCUAGGUGAUGUCAGUGAUGUUAUGUUACUUAUAGCAAAUUGAAAAUGUUUCAGUGUGUACCCUCUCAUAAAAUUUUAUUGUCGAAUUAUGAGGGAUUUAAAAGAACAGGCUCUAUGGGUUACCUGUUAUCGAUUUGAGUGGACCAGAAGAAUGGCGAAAGUUUGUUUAACCACAAAUUUUAAAUAUUCUGCCCCUGUUUACUAAAUUAUUUAUUAAGAUAUUUUAUUUCUGUAAAGCCCAAUGAAGUUUUUAAUACAACUUCUACCAAUGUACACUUUUGAAAAUUGAAAAUUGAUCCAUAAAUAGCGAAAACCAGAUACUCAUCACAAUUUUAACGGGUUGUAGUUUUUUUGACAACAAAAUUUCGAAGCCGGAAAAGCAGUCUGGGUAGGGUUUUUUUACACUCAUUUCAACGGUGUGAAGUUUAUUACAAUCGGACGUAUGUAUACUUUGGCAAAAACUUGGGCAGAAGUUUAUACAGUAGAACCUCUCUUAUCCGUGCUAAUGGCUGCUCGACCCCCCGCCGAAUAAGAGAAAAACACGGAUAAUAGGAUUGAAUUAAAAAAUUAUAAAUUUAACGUAUUUAUUCAAAAAAAUACAAAUACUUUAACUUUUAUUUAAAAUAGUCAGUUAUUAAUGCCUGUUUCUUUAUCAUUUGAUUUUUUAUUUUUCUUUGUAAAUUGCGAACACUCAUCAAGUCAGCAGCCAGUUGGUGUACCGGAAUUCCUUGUCCAGAUUUUUGAAUUAUUUCUGCUUUUUUCUCUAAAGUCAAAACAAUUUUUUUCCGCACACCGGACAUGGUUCGAUCUGUGUCUUAAAACGACUGAAUUCUUAAAAAUAAUUCCUUAACACAACAUCCGCCCGAAUAACUGAAUCUGAUUCUUGGAAAAAUCGGACUAUUGCACGGAUUUGUGAAAUCGCCCAAACAGCACGGGUAACUGAGAGACCGGGUAACUGAGACACGGAUAAGAGGGGUUUUACUGUAUAUAUUUCUCUAUGCUGGAAUAUGCUUUAGCUCACUGAUAAGUAUUAAUAAAACGAGCACGUGUUGAUUUUUGUUUAUUAAGCCACUCACAAAUUCAUGUCUUACCUAUUCGACUGUCUGUCUCGAAGAGGACGAGUCCUUGCAAGAAACAUCAGUACCUACGCUAUGCGCAGUCGCAUUCCAAAACAUCUUAUUAUUGACCUACUUCGUACUUAACCUACUGUACACUUAAUCUACGCCUUAAUUAAUACAUUACACUCACCCUUAAAAUGAUGAAGAGCUUAUGUAUAUGAUAGUUAAAGUUUGUCCAGAAUUAUAAGAAUUUUAUGGACUCCCAACGUUAAUUCGUUUUACAGCCAUGUCGUCAAUGCUAUUGUACAGGUAAAGAGCCUGUCAGGAGAAAGCCGAUGUUUACUGUACCUGAGUUCGCCCCGCCCUUCAGCUGUACAAUAAAAUUGACAACAGGGCUGUAAAACGAAUUAACUUUGGAAGUCCAUAAAAUUCUUAUAAUUCUAGACAAACUUUACCUAGUUUCUUGACAAAUUCUGUGCUAAACUCGUUUUAGAUUUUAACUCCCUACUUGGUUAAUCUUCUCUUUGUGGGAACGAACCAGGUAUAAUAAUCCCAGCAGGACAGGUAAACGAUUCGUAGAGAAAAACAAAACAAUAUUUUUGAGUAUUUGGGUUAAAAGUAAUUGCAAAAAGUAAUUGUAAAAGGGACUGAAUUAUUCAAAAGAAGUAAUUCGUUGCGAUUACUCAUUACAUUUAUUGAAAAGUAAUGCAUUACAAUUACCCAUUACUUGAAAAGGAAUUGAAUUACUUCCAACCAGUGAUUUUGUACUUGGUUAUAAAUAUUUAAGCAAAAGUUUGCCAGAUUACAAGAGCUGGGCAAAUACAAAGUAAUAAGGAAGAUCUACAAGUAAAUUGGAGAUUGGUAAACAAAAUGUAAAUUGUACCGGGUGUCUGGAAAAUGGCGAAUUAACUCUUCAGUACAUGUACAUAAGUUUCGGGAGUCCCAAAAAAAUAAUAAAAAAAAUACAUGAUGUAGAUUACGAAAAAAACGUAAUUUUAUAGAAUCAAAUUUCCGCACGCCGAACUUUUAGUAAGAAAAUAGGUAGAAAUGGAAAGAAACGAAAACCACUAAGAUGGGGAUGCGCAGAAGGGUUGUGUUUGAGAAGAGUGAGUCGCGGCCAUGUGAACUUCGCGUGUGUGGCAUUACACACGCAUCCCGACUUUCCAAAAUGGCGACGCUCCCGGAUGACGCCGUGGCCGUUAAUCUUCGUACUAAUCAUUCAACAUAAUUUCAAUCUGUUGUAGUAGGGCUUUUCAGGGAAUUAUCUUAGCUAGGGCAGUUUUAUUUAGCUAAUGUUAUGUGGAAAGUUUUUGGAUGACAAUUUUCGAGUUACUAUUUUGCGUUGCAUAAUUUCACCACGUGGGAGUAAAGUAAAUUCAAACGUAGUCUGAACAACCGAAUUUUUAACAAAAUAACACCGGGAACGACAUUAGGAAAAUGAAUAAUAUCGUGUUGGCGUGAAAUGCGACCAUUGGCCGGGUCUCGAGGGGAGCCACCGGGCGCAGCCUAUGUCAUACCGUGGUGCGUCGCUGGGACCCGAUGGUACCCGAGAACGGCUGAACAACACCACGCGGUGGGAAGUCCAGCAUCAGCUAGCGAGAAAACUCGAACUAGAGCAGUCACAUGUUUCUUUAAAUAACGCUAAAUAAAUUUGUACAUCUGAAUUCGGUGAUUAAUUUCCACAUCAGAAGUGGGAUUGGAUACUGGGUGCCUUGUUGGCCGUAUGGUGGAAAGUGUAGUGAAAUUCUAUGUUGUCUGAGUGCGAAAAACAAUGCCUCGAGCACAACAACGCAAAUCCCGUAGACGCGAGAGAAGUCCUAGCCGAGAUGAACGUCGUCAUCGACGUUCUAGGAGCGAUGGUACUGGUAUAACAGUCGCAAGGGUUGCUGGUCCAAGCGGCGGCGACACCAGCACUAGGCGUGAUCGCUCCUGUGACGCAUCUCGUGGCAGCGACGCCAGGGGAAGUACCGGAGGCACCAGUAGCCAAGGGAUGGCCGACAUAGAUGCGGCAAUCGUGAAGGGCAUCCAUCAGUUGGUGCAACAAUGUAGGCUUCCUUCUCCGCGGUCGAGCGUAAGUACGACGGCAGCAGAUAAGAUUAUCCCCGAAUUUGAUCCGCGUGAACAGAGUAUUGCGGAGUGGAUCGCUGCCGUCGACGAAUACGCUUAUAUUCAUCAUUGGGACGACAAGAGAGUAAGUCAUUUUGCGCUUGGAAAACUGCGAGGACCAGCAGAAAUAUGGUAUCGCAGUCUUCCAACCCGUUUGUUUUCAUGGCCCGAAUGGCGGGAAAUGUUAAUCAGUAAUUUCAAACGCAAACGCAAGCUGCAUGAAGCUCUGACAACAAUGUUAGCGCGCGUCCCAUUAGUCAGUGAAACUUUAUACGAGUAUGUUUUUCACAAAUUAGCCCUUAUUCAGAAAUUAAAAAUUUCCCUUACUGGGGAAGAUGUUAUUGAUCGGAUAAUGGGGGGAAUUGAUGAUGAUCAGAUAAAGUUUUCUGUUGAGACUGCAGGGAUAACGGAACCAGCUGUUUUGGCUAAUCAUUUACGAACAUUUGAUGCUAAGCACAAGCGGGACAGGUCGACGCUAAAAAUAGACCCUACAAAAAAACCAAAGUUAGACGUAAAAUCACAGCCACAGCCGUCGUCAUCUAAAUAUGCUGCAUCCACAAGUGCUGCGGCAAUAACACAACAUUCCGAAACCAGAUCUGUUUGUUAUUAUUGCAGGAAAUCGGGUCAUUUUGCUCGCAAUUGUCCCGAAAAACGAACCACUAGGUUGUCACGACCUAAUCGAAGUAACGCGGAAAAAUCACACAAGCCCUUGUUAGCACUAGAAUACAAACAUGUAAAUUUUGCGACUCACGGUGGUACUUCUGCUAAAUAUUUUAAGGACAUCUUAAUUAACAAAAGUGUCAAUCCCUGCUUUAUCGAUUUCGGAAGUCAAUGUUCAUUAAUUUCGGAAGCUACUGCGAAAACUUUGAAUUUGACUCUACAAAAACCCGACAUGCCAAUUGUUUUGUCCACCUUGGGUAACCACCUAUGGUGACCACCCAGUCGUACCAGAAUUUGUCGUUCGUGCUGGCGUGGUAAUUGAUGGGAUUAACAAAGUUUGUUCUUUGUUGUUAAGAAAUGCGUCAUGAAUGUGGGUAUCCUUAUCGGGCAGAAUUUUACGGACCUGCCUGAUUUUCAAUAUUUCAAGGCUGGUGACGUCUUGCAAUUCUCGCAAUCUCAAGUGCAAGAAACCGUCAACAGCGCUAUCUCAAGUGGCGUUAAUGUAGGUGUGACUGAUCCGGUGGCUAUUAAUGCACUUCUUCAAUUGUUAAAUGAGUAUCCAAUGUACAUAGCUAAUCAGAUGUCGGAAGUGGGUAAAACGGAUACUGUAAAAAUGAAAAUACAAUUAACAUCUACACAACCAAUUUCUUGUCAACCCCGGCGGUACGCUGAGGAAAAAAAAACUGGUGACAAAAGGUUAUGUGUGGACCAUAGGGUUCUGAAUAAGAUUACUGUUAAAGACCGGUACCCACUUCCCCACAUUGAAGAUCUAUUGAGUCGAUUAGCGAGACACAGGGUUUUUACAAAUUUAGAUCUCUUAGCUGGGUACCAUCAAGUACCAAUGUCGGACGAAUCCAUUCAGUAUACGUCCUUCGUUACCCAGGACGGACAGUACGAGUACUUACGGAUGCCGUUUGGAUUGUGCAAUGCUCCGGCUGUUUUUCAGCGAAUGAUAAAUGGUGUUUUGGGCGAACUUCGUUUUUCAAAGGUUUUAUGUUAUCUUGAUGACAUCCUAAUCCCUGCACCAUCGCUUGAGCAGUCGUUAGCCGUGCUCCGAGAAGUUCUCGACAUUUUCAAAAAAACGGGAUUGACACUUAAACUAAGCAAAUGUUUCUUCUUACGCCUGGCGAUCCAAUAUCUGGGGUACAUAAUUAGCGAAUCAUGCAUCAACCCUCAUCGCAAAAAAUUGAGGCUGCAGAGAACUUUCCCGUGCCGAAAGACGUGCAUAAUGUUAGGCAGUCCUCGGACUGACCGGUUAUUUCCGGAAAUUUAUUUUCCACUAUGCUAUAAUCGCCAAACCCUUACCAAUAUUACUACGUAAAAACGCUGCUUUUACUUGGGGCAUAGAACAAGUUGAGGCCUUUAAUGCAUUAAAACAACACCUUAUUUCGCAACCAGUGCUUGCUCUGUUUGACCAUCAAUUAGAGACGCGUCUUUACACCGACGCUAGCCAGAUUGGACUAGCGGGCAUUUUGGUUCAAAUUAAUAAUAACAAAGAAUGCGUGGUCUCUUAUUUUAGUCGACACACCACCCCUUUAGAGCAGAAAUACCACUCGUUUGAGCUCGAAACAUUAGCGAUAUGUAGUAGCAUCUGUUAAGCGAUUCAGGCAAUUUCUUCUAGGGAUACCCUUUGUCAUUUUCACGGAUUGCGCAGCUGUGCGAAGUACCUUUCUCAAGAAAGAUUUAAAUUCUCGCGUAGGUCGCUGGGUCUUGGACCUUAGCGAAUACCAGUAUGAAAUCAAACGUAAGGGCAAUCAACAAAUGCGCCAUGUAGACGCCCUUAGUCGCAAUCUGUCUGUUCAUGACUGUGGGGUACAUGCCGUAGUUAUAAGCGAUGACGAUUGGCUUCUCGCGGUACAACAAGCUGACAAAAGCAUAAUGCAACAAAAAGCGAUCCUAGAGACUGGAGAUCGGCAAGGUAACAAAGAGAUUUUUACUAACUAUGUGCUCAAAGGCAGAAAAGUCUAUAAAAUAACAAGUACAGGUUUACGCUGGGUCGUGCCUAAAGCAAACAGAUUUCAGUUACUGCGAAUGAUGCACGAUGAUGUAGGGCAUUUUGGUUUUGAAAAGACGUACGAAUUUCUCUCGAGUAAGUUUUGGUUUCCUAAAAUGCAGAGAUUUACUACUAAAUAUAUUCGAAAUUGCUUGAACUGUCUUUUCUUUAAGUCUCCAGGCGGAAGGAAAGCCGCAGGGUUACUUACAUCCGAUCAAGAAAAUUCCUCAACCGUUUCAUACGGUUCACACAGAUCAUUUGGGUCCCUUUGUUAAAACAAAGCAAGGAAACACUUAUCUCUUAGUAAUCAUAGACGCAUUUACUAAAUUCAUUCUACUAUACCUGUCAAAAGUACGCAAACAAAAUAUGUCGUCUCCUCCGGCGAUGUCGACGACGACGAAUGGGACUCUAAUGUAGAUAAUAUUCAACUGGACAUUAACGGGACACUUAAUACUGCAAUUGGCGUUCCACCAAGCGAAGCGCUUAUGGGUUAUAGAAUAUGUUCACAGGGUCUGAUGCAAACUGAGGGCGUAGCUGCACGUCCAGUGGAUGUUACCGAGGUGCGGAGACAAAUGAUCGAACGAGUAGAGCGGUACCAGACUCAGCAGAAAAAGCAAUUUGACAAAGGGCGAAGUGUAGCCAAGACCUAUCAGGAGGGAGAUCUGGUUCUGAUCCGUGUAACAUGUAACGCUGCCACAGGAGUCAGUCAAAAGCUCCUGCCAAAAUGGAGAGGCCCUUUUCGGGUGGUGAAGGUCUUGGACAACGAUCGCUAUGAGGUCAGAGAUAUCCCAGGUGCUACCAGGAGUCGAGUGGCGUACCAAGGACUUUGCGGCGCUGAGAAUAUGCGUCCAUGGAUUCGUCUUGGUGAUGACUAAACAAGAGUAGCAGUGGGUAACGUAUGAAGGGGUAACUUGAGGACUGGCAGGUGCGAUGCCUGUGUACUUUUCUCUAGUUACGUGGUCGAAGUUGUGCAGGUAGCGAUUACCAAGGCUUAAAAUUGCGGGUAGAGAUUACCCGACCGGCAAACAACCAGCGGUAGGGCAGGUGCGAUGUCUGUGAAUACUAACUUACCCUGUGUUGAUCUCGACCAUAAGUAAGGACUACUUUUAAGACAUAUGGGGCCCCACAAUAUCUCGUAUUAUUAUCUUGUUUUUAUUUGUGUUUUCGUUGUUCAGAUCUGCAGCGUUCUUGUCUUAUGUGUUAUUCGUCUGUAGGUUACAUUCUAUUUGAUACUUAGACGUGUUGAAGUUCUAGCUCAAGAAAUACCCUAAGUGAGGACACUCAGGUUGUCAGGAAGGGCCGUGUUGGCGUGAAAUGCGACCAUUGGCCGGGUCUCGAGGGGAGCCACCGGGUACAACCUACGUCAUACCGUGGUGCGUCGCUGGGACCCGAUGGUACCCGAGAACGGCUGGACAACAGCACGCGGUGGGAAGUCCAGCAUCAGCUAGCGAGAAAACUCGAACUAGAGCAGUCACAUGUUUCCUUAAAUAACGCUAAAUAAAUUUGUACAUCUGAA